rnacentral:lncRNA from 1 species
GUUGAAGUAGGAAACAGCAGUGCAAAGAGAUGGGGUGUGGAUGGCAGCUGUGGCUCCUCUUGUCCCUGUGAGUUUCUCAGCUCCGUGCCCAAGCUCCCUGCUCUUGGCAGGCCGCGCGGCGUGGGUCGACUGCCAGUGUGGAGGAAUGCUGAACUGUGUGCUCACUGCCUUUUAUAUUUCCAGCCACAUCAGCCCCAGAAACAGCAGAGACAACCAUAGAAGGCAACGCUUCUCCUCGCAUCUACAACUGUAGGAACUGGCAUCUGUACAGAAUUGAGGGGCCUGGCCAGAGGCUGUAACUGCUGUAACUGAAAAAACUGCUCUAACUCCUGCGAGCUCACUGGCUAGGAUUCCCCAGCAUUGAUGGCAAGUGGUUCUGGAUCUCUCCAGCAUCUCACAAUGCUCUUUUAAUUUCCACCUGCUGAUCAGGAGGUCUAAGAGAAGGAAGCAAAUCUGAGAACAGAACUAUCACUGGAACACAUUCUGAAUGUUACCCUCAGUUCCAGUUAUCUUUUGCAGUGUAAUAAACCACCCCAAACUGCAGGGCCUAAAACAACCAUUCUCUUUGUCUGACAGGUUAUGUGGGUCAGAUUUUGGCUGGGACAUGGCAAGGACAGCUCGUAUCUGUUGCACAACGUCUGAUCCUUAGCUGAACAGCUGGGGAUGAUUUAAAUGUCUGGGGCUGGCAUGUGGGCUGAGAUGACUUGAUGGCUUGGCUUAGCUGGGCUUCUCCAUGUGGCUUGGGCUUCCUUAUAGCAUGGCGGGCUCAGGAUAGUCAGACAUCUCACCAGAUAGCUGCGGAUUACUACAGCAAGUCUCCACCAGACAAGGCAGAAUCUGCAUGAUAUUUUAUGAUCUGCUUUGAAAUUGCUCAUUUUAUUAUUUUUAAAAGGAAAAAACAUAUUCCAAUACAGAUUGGUAUUAAAUGAAAGUAAUUUUAUCUCCUCCUCCAUCCUUCUGUACACAAUUUCUUGAAUAUUCUCCCCUAAGCAUGAUUAUGCUUAAAUAAGCACAUAUGAUGAACUCACUUCUGGAAUGGUGGGGUGAGGCGCUCCGUGGACAUGUUCCCUAGCAGAACAACCAUAGCUAAUUAAAAUUAUGUUGUAAAAGUUCAACCAUUUAAAACUUCUGGAUGUUGUCUUAAGAGCAUUACAUGAAUUAACAAAUAAUUUUUUUUGUUUGUUUUUGUUUUUUUUGAGAUGGAGUCUCGCUCUGUCGCCAGGCUGGAGUGCAGUGGCGCGAUCUCGGCUCACUGCAAGCUCCGCCUCCUGGGUUCAAGCCAUUCUCCUGCCUCAGCCUCCUGAGUAGCUGGGACUACAGGCGCCCGCCACCAUGCCCGGCUAAUUUUCUGUAUUUUUUAAUAGAGAUGGGGUUUCACCGUGGUCUCGAUCUCCUGACCUUGUGAUCCGCCCGCCUCGGCCUCCCAAAGUGCUGGGAUUACAGGCGUGAGCCACCGUGCCCGGCCAAAUCAUUUUUUCAAGAAACUCUACUAAAUCUCUGUAAGAAGAGCGAGGGUCUGUGGAACUUAAGCCACAACCUGCUCUCCCCACCAGCUCAUCAUGAUAGCAGGUGUGUGUGCCCAAGACAUGGGGCUUCCUCUCCCACCAGCUCUCAGUCAGGGGCUACAGUACCUAUCCAGGAGGGGCAGGCCACCAGCAUUUCACAUCUUUCCAAGUUCUGUGUUGAAUAGGUUAAAUUCUAUAUGAGUGUGGCUGAGGUCAGGGGCUCCCUUCCUCCAUACAGCUCUUAUUCAUAGAGUGGAAGCUCUACCCCAGAUGUGGCAGGCUAAGAAUACUGUGGCCCCAGUUGCUUUUGCCCAGCUCACUCACUGGGUAGAAGUUUCAUGCUGGGGGAGGCAAGGCAAACAGAUCAGAGAAGCUACUUUCCCUGCCCAGUAUGCUGCUCAUAAAGAUGG